UUCUCUUCCUAUCAUACGUAAAGGCAUAAGAGAAAGGAGAGAUACAACAGUGAGGAAAGAACAAAAACAGCCAAGAUGGCUUCAGUGAGAACCAACUUUUCUACAAAUAUCAACCUUUCUGGAAUUUGAUUCAGAUCACUCAGGACAGGCCAUUCUUGGAUCUUUGGUCAUGGCUGAGGACCUUAAUGACAAGCUGGGAUCUGAAGGAAAGACGGACUUGGACAAAGAGUUGGUGUUAAAUGUAUUUAAAAAUGAUGCUGCUGAUCAGGAGUUUAACCUUGAAGCUGCAAUUAAAAAUGUUGAAAAAAUGU